rnacentral:rRNA from 1 species
AAGAGAUUACGUGAAACCGUUCAGGGGUAAACGGGAGAAAUCCUGAAUUCGAAAGGGGUCUUGGAUUCAAUGCCUACCGAUAGCAAAUCUGGGACGCCCUCUCCAGAUGGCGCCGGUCGCCCGCAGCGAUUCAUUUCGUUUCGCGGUGUCGUUCCCGGCGUUCACUCGGGAUGAGGUGUCGUAUACCCGGUGCCGGAGGAGUGCACUUCCCCCCUAGUAGAAACGUCGCGACCCGUUGGGUGCCGGUCUCAAGGCCCGGGGUGGCAGCCCGUGCGUCCUGCGNNNGCUCUCGCAGGCGCGCGGACCCCUGGUGACCCGGCCGGCUGCCCGACGGUAUGACCAGAGGAGUCGAUCCGCUGAAAUUNGAAACACUGUGGUUGUGUAGCGUCCGGCCCCUCUUCCGAUGCGCGCGUAGCGGGAUUCCCGCGUAGAUCGCGG